GGCGGUUUCUUAAGUCUGAUGUGAAAGCCCCCGGCUCAACCGGGGAGGGUCAUUGGAAACUGGGAGACUUGAGUGCAGAAGAGGAGAGUGGAAUUCCAUGUGUAGCGGUGAAAUGCGUAGAUAUAUGGAGGAACACCAGUGGCGAAGGCGGCUCUCUGGUCUGUAACUGACGCUGAGGCUCGAAAGCGUGGGGAGCAAACAGGAUUAGAUACCCUGGUAGUCCACGUCGUAAACGAUGAGUGCUAAGUGUUGGAGGGUUUCCGCCCUUCAGUGCUGCAGCUAACGCAUUAAGCACUCCGCCUGGGGAGUACGACCGCAAGGUUGAAACUCAAAGGAAUUGACGGGGGCCCGCACAAGCGGUGGAGCAUGUGGUUUA
rnacentral:rRNA from 1 species